GCAAGGUUUGAAGGCUGCGUUGAGGUGGUCGACGACACGUUCGUGUGCAUAAGUGGGCCGUAUGAAAAGGACGAUGGCAACAAGGCUGCUUACUUUUGCCGCAAGAACUUUUACGCCCUCAGCGUCAUGGUGGUAUGUGACCAACCCUGCCGAUGACCGCCCUCGCACUCGGGGCCCGUGCACGACGCCUUUAUGUGGAAGACAUGCACCGUGAGCCAGGACUGGGCAGUGGACGCCGUGGCCAGGUGAUAGUGCAUACUCGCUUCAACCUUGGCUGUUUAACCCCAUCCCUGGAGAACAUCCUGCAGAAUCCUCUGCUGCCCGAUUCCACCGCA